rnacentral:rRNA from 1 species
UGGGGAAUUUUGCACAAUGGGGGAAACCCUGAUGCAGCGACGCCGCGUGAUUUAGAAGGCCUUCGGGUUGUAAAAAUCUUUUGUAUGGGAAGAAAAUGACAGUACCAUACGAAUAAGGACCGGCUAAUUACGUGCCAGCAGCAGCGGUAAUACGUAAGGUCCGAGCGUUGUCCGGAAUCAUUGGGCGUAAAGCGAGCGCAGGCGGUUAGAAAAGUCUGAAGUGAAAGGCAGUGGCUCAACCAUUGUAGGCUUUGGAAACUGUUUAACUUGAGUGCAGAAGGGGAGAGUGGAAUUCCAUGUGUAGCGGUGAAAUGCGUAGAUAUAUGGAGGAACACCGGUGGCGAAAGCGGCUCUCUGGUCUGUAACUGACGCUGAGGCUCGAAAGCGUGGGGAGCGAACAGG